AUCCAACUGACGAGUUCGAAACAGGACAAAACGCACGUCCUGGAU
rnacentral:hammerhead_ribozyme from 1 species